rnacentral:snRNA from 1 species
GUAUGUUUUCGCAUACAUGGGAUAAAAUUGAAACGAUACAAAGAAGAUUAGCAUGACUCGCGCUGAAGGAUGAAUGAACAAACAAAUCUGGAAGACGACUCCUU